rnacentral:lncRNA from 1 species
UAUAUAUUUGCAUUCAGUUGGAAUGUAGUGACACGUCAGCUCUGAUUUUACUGGAUGUUUUCGCAUGUAUUUCAUUCAAGCAAUGUAUGUUGAAUGAUGUUAGUAAAUCCCUAAACUGAGUUAGUUAGAAAGGCCUUAGUGAGAUGGGAUUUCACUGGCCGGUCACGUGGCACCUGUAUGAUUGGUGGGACCCAGUGUGUAACGGGUCGGGUCGUGA